GCCUCCUUAGCUCAAUGGUAGAGCGCUGGCUUGAAACCCCAGAUAUCUAUGUCCGAUUCAUGGGGGAGGCA
rnacentral:tRNA from 1 species